GCCCGGGCUCGUGCGCAAUAAAUAAUGGGCCCGCGGCAGCCGCAGUCAGGCCGCCCGCGGCCCUGCGAUGCAAAUGCGCCGCUUUAUCCUCCCCGAGUGCACCCUGAGUGCACCCGCAGUGCCCGCGGGCGCCCCGGGCCUCCGCGGCCCCUUCUCCAUUAUCUAAUGCACAUCAAGGUAGUCUCUUCAGAUGGGAAAACAUCAACAGCCUAAACCAAACACAAAAAGAACUCGAGCCCAGAGCCUCAGGGCGGUUUCUGGUUGCUGUCCCAGGAAGCUCUCGGGGCAAAUCCGACCACAAGGCACCCAGACCCAACCGUGAUCGGGUCGGUGCCACCACGCGACGUACAGCUAACCCCGCGGCUCCCUCCGCGCCUCCACCCCGGAGGCUCCACAGUCCCCUCCCCGCUUCCCGAAGGUGGGCCGGUGGUCGCCGGCUCCGCGGCGCCGAGGUCGGUGGGUGGGGGUCCCCCUAUCGCCCAGACUCGGUUUGCGUCCUCCUUUCAACCUUCGCUGCGGCCCCUGCCCCUCGCAAUAACAUCACUCCACCGAAACUUCCCGCCAAGCAGCACCCAGACAUUAACCCCAUCCUCUCCUCCAACACAGAGUCCCACCCGCGCACCUCUUCCCUCUCCCUGCGCUCCUGACACCUCUCUCCUCGGAAAACCGCGUGGAGGGGAGCAGUCGCUCAGCAGAGGACUCUGGCCGAAUUACUGGCGGCUCCCAGAAGCUCCUGCCCCUCUGACAGCUGUCGCUGGGGCAGCCCGGAGAGACGAAUCGUCCUCUUUCCUGGAGCCAGAGGACGCAGGAAAUUAGCCAGGUUGCGAGUUGCAAAGAGGCCGCCGCGGCGCCGGGAGCAGGGCGCACCCCACCUCCAGCGGGAAGGGCCGGGCCCGGCCAGCCCGGGGCCUCGCCUCGCUCGCCAUCGCCGGACAAAGCGCAGCCGAGCCGGCUGGAAGGCAGAGCUCCGAAGCAGGCAGGACGGAGCGGAGCACAAGAAUGCGGCUCUAUUCUCGCAAGGGAAAUUAUAAAAAAGUUCAUGUUCACGGUUCCCAUCCACAUGACCGACAACGGCCAAUGGAAGGGCCGAACAACUCAUAAAGUUGUAUUGCAAAGUUGUAAAUUUUCAUAAACAACAACGGAUUUA